rnacentral:lncRNA from 1 species
CUCAGACAAGGUGGCCAGGAGCACAGGAAGAUGAAUGGUCCAGCCGGGUUCUGUCCAGGGCCUCUGGCUGAGCAAGUGUGGGUAGAAACCUCCACCCACCCAGGCCCCAGCAAAUAAGAUUUCUACAAGUGCAGCUAGGCCAGCUGCCUGUUACUGCCAGAAGCUAAGUUGUUUCUUUAUACCAUAAUAAAUCUGGCUGUAGGAGUCAGCGAAAGCAAUGAUUACUUCACACAACCUCUCUCAGCCCCUGAUUGAGAUGCAUUAUAUAUCCCAGGCACCCAGGAGAUGGAGCCGUGACAUUGAUGGAUGCCAAGGCCACUUGCAAGGCCCUCAUUGGGAGCAGGGCCUGGCCAAUCUCUCUCCCUGGGCUCCAUGGACCUCCCCCUGCCCCGGUGACCUCUGAUGGACAGGAGCUUAAUGAGCUUUGGCCUCAACAUCCCCAUGGCUAAGGGCAGUGCAGAAAUAAUGGAGUCAUUGCAUAGGCAGGAUCAACAGGUUCAAGUCAGGCAAUGAAUGGCCAGCAGGUAGAGGAUGAGGGCUUUGGACGUGGGGAUGUAAGAAAGCAAAGCUUUAUUCGGCACUGAAAUGCACAUUGCUCAGUGCUCUCUGUAGACUGUCAUAUGUCAGUCUCCAGUUCCACCUGUGAGGUAGGUACUAUGAUCAUCGCCAUUUUACAGAUGAGGAGACUGAGGCUUAGAGAGCUUAAGCAACUUGCCCCAGGUCAGAGAGCCAACAAGGUCACACAAACAACAGCAACCAGUGUGAUCGUUUGAAAAAACAGGCCAGAUCCCAUCACUCACCUGCUCAAACCCUGUCUGUCCACGUCCCUCCUGCACGCUCCUGCGCACUCCAGGCUCUUCUUCCCCCAUCAUUCUGAGCUCUUUGCAUGGACACCCUUCUCCGGUCCUGCAUACCUGGCUCUUGCCUGGUGUCCAGUUCCCAGAUCAGAUGUCCCCUUCCUGAGAUGCCCUCCCUGAAUGCCCUGAGUGGCCCUCCAGCACCCACUGUCCCUGUGUCUUUCAGGGCCCAUCCUGUGUCUGUGCCUUGCUGCUUUCUCACAGUGGGUGAUGAGCUUGUUCAUUCACUGGGUAUUUCUUCUCACCAGACUGAGCAGCGAGAGGCCAGGGCCAUGUAGGUCUUGUCCUCCUGUGUCUGUUGCACUGGGCAUGGUGCCUGGCACAUGACAAGAACUCAACGAGUAUUUGUUGAAUGAAUGAAAGUUGCAGAGCUGGGACUGGAGCUCAGGUCUGUCUGGCUCCAAAGCCUAUACUCUUAAGCACAUAAUUUUUAGUCCUUGGAUGACCACAUGGCUUGAAGUCAUGAGGCUGGGUUCCAAUGCUGGCUCAGCUACCACCAUGCUGUGUGGCAUUGAGCAAACAUCUGGGGCUCAGUCUCCUGAUUUGUCCAUGAGGAGGCAGAGCUAGGUGCUUUCUAGGAGCUCAUUCUAAGUAGGACAGCAUCAGGUUCAACAUCCCUCAGACAAUGGGGCUGACAUUGCUCAGUGGGGUCCAGGCCAUUGGCCUAAGCAUCGGGUGUCUGAGGCUGGUGGCUUUACACUGACUUUAGUCUGAUGGGCCUGCACCCCCACCCUGGCUGGUCCUGGUGAUCACAAUAGUGACUGCUGUGCAUUGUCCCUAAUACAGACUGUUCCUAAUCUCCCCAGCAUCCUGAGAGGUGGGUAUCACCAAGCCCAUUUAGCAGGCAAGAAAGCUGAAGCUCAGAGAAAUGAGGGCAGAGCUCUCAAUGUCACAGCUAGAAAAGAUUCAGUCUCUGGACUAGAACUUGGGACUGACUCCAAAGCCGGUGCUCAUGCAAACAACAGCCAGUCUAUGCCUGCACCACACCAGCUGCUUGAGGCUGCUCUCAACCCUCAGCCAGGCUGCUCUCCCAACCCUGCCCUAGCUGGGCUCAUCUCCACUGUGCCUCACCAUCAACAGCCUCUCCAGGUCCAGGGCCGGCUUGAAACACUGCCUGAUCAUCCUAGUCUGCUGCAUUCUCACCGUGAGGGUGGCCUGAGUCAGCGGGAGCGCAGGAGCUGAGAACGCCUUUCAAGAAAAAGGAAACUCGUCUAAGCUCACCUCCUACUCUCUCCCUGGGAUGGGAAGAGGGACCCUGACCAGAAAUGUCAUUUUCUGCUCAUUUCAAAGUGAAUAAUGUGGCUGUCUUGGGCUGUGUUUAAUCUCUUAAUGCAUCCCUGUUUGAAGAGCAAUGGGCUCAACAUCCCUCAGAGACAAUGGGGCUGGCAUUGCUCAUUAGUGCCCAGGCCACUGGCCUAAGCAUCUGCUUUCUGAGCCUGAUGAAAUCUUGGGUGUAGUCUGAGCUUUGGUCUGAUGGACCUCUGUACCUACUUUGGCAGGUCCUUGCAUUAUACCUAAUGUGGACAUUGUCCCUAAUCUUCCCAGAAAUCCUGAGAGACAGAUGUUACCAAAACAAUUUGAUAUAUGAGGAAAGAGGCUCAGAGAGCUGAGGUGAAUUGCUUAAGGCUACACAGCUAGAAAAGAGCCAAGACAGAAUUAAAAGCCAUGUCACUUGACUCCAAACCAUUGCUCUUAUAAUCAUUGGAGAAAUACUGGCAGAUCUAAACCUGAACCACAUUAACUGCUGGAAGUUUCUCUUGUCCGUGAACCAGUCUGCCCUUUCAACACUCACUCAAGCUAGGCUCAGCCACAGCCACAAACAGGCUUAGCUGAGGCCCACAGUCAAACAGGGCUCAGGGCUGGGCAUCUAGUAGGCCUGCAGCAAAAGCCAGUGACUGGACAAUUGAAUGUCUUGAAUCUGCAGAGGGUGGAGGUGGCCUGAGUCAGCAGGAGCUGAGAAAGCCUUUUGAAGAAAAAUGAAAUGUAUCUCAACCCACUCCCUACUUACUCCCAGAAGUGGGAAGAGGGAACCUGUCCAGGAAUUUUAUUUUCUAUUCUUUUGAAAGUGGAACAAUGUGGCUUUCUUGAGCUGUGUUUAUUCUGUGACUGCAUUCUCUCUUUGAAGAGGGCUGGGAUUGCUCCCCAGGGCUCCAGCCCAUGCAUGCUCCUUUCCCUACAAAAGGCAUAGCAACUCUUCCCCUUCUAGCCUCUUCCCCAAUCAACCCUUUGCUCCCUUCCAUGUCUGCCUCUCUCGCCCAUGACAGUUCUUAAUUUAUUGUCUCUGAGCUCCAAAUACAUCCUUCGUUGCCCUGCUUUGUAAUACUGGAGCUGGACCCUGUGAACAGUUCUCUUGUGCCAGCUAGAGCAAUGUUAGGCUUUGUCAGGAGAGGGCGCUAGAGGGACACUGUAAGGUCCCUCUGCAGCGGGAAGGCACUUCCCUUCCAGGUUCUGGUCCUCCUUCCAUCUUUUUGUUUCCAGCACAGGAGCCAAGGCCCAGUGCUAUCAUCUCAGUGGCCUGUGUGGACCAGCUCCAAACGUCUUUUCUGUAUAACAGGAAAGAACCAUCAGGCUUCACUCUCUCCACCUGGACAUCGAUUCUAUAGACCAGCCCUACUCACACUUGACACCAGCCUGAACCCAUGUGGGAUCAGGUUCCCACAAAGACGGCCAUGUCCACAGACUGAGCCAGCUUACUUUCCCUGGCAGGUUUCUUAGCCACUGGAGGCUGCAUGUUCUCAUGGUCAUCACUCACUCAUAGAGGAGGUCUGAGUCAGGGGGAACACCUUCUCCUGAGGCCCUAUUUCCUUCAUUAUUCACUUUCCCUCAGCCUAGAAACAGUAGCUACUUUUUUGCACGUGCUGCUUCUGGGUCUCAUAGAGUGUUCUUUUACCCUUUUUAGUAAUUAACUAUCCUUUGUUAGAUAAUAAUUCUUUAUAUUAAAAUUUCCACGUUCAGAUUAUGGGUGUGAGCUCUGUCUCCUGACUGGAUCCUAAUUGAUAAGGAAUUGAGAGCAGGAAUGGUCCCAGGUGACAGACCCGCAAAGAUGAGAUUUUGAUAGGUUUCAUUGUGCCUUUGGGCUGGAGCACAAUGCUGAGUUCCUUGCCAGUGGGAAUGGGAUGCUUGUAAUCUACAGCAUAAUGGCACCAUAAUGUUGCUAUCACCUGUAAUGGAUUUUGGUGCAAUGCCAACUGGAGCAAGUGUCUUGGGAACUCAGGUGACUCCUGCACCUGACCAUGAUUACACCAGUAAUGAUGCCCGCAAGGACUGUGGUGUGGGAUGAAUCUUGCAUGCACUGGAGCACUUACUAGAAAAGAAAAGACAAGUUGAGGUUAUUUAAUUCUCAGCUCAAAUCAUAGUUUGAGGACCACAGAGCUUCCAUGUCAUCCGUAAAAGAAUCUCAUAUUUCAUGUAGCCACAGGGCUGAUAUUGCUCAAAACCAAACACAAAAUUUAAUUGUGUGGGUGGCAGAAUUUAAAUGUCAGUUAAAUUUAUAGCAUCACAAGUUUUUCAUGUGAAAGUUUGGGUAUAAAUCAGGGAAGAAUGUGAUCUUGAAACUUGGAAUAGGGACAUCUGGUUGGACUCAGAUAAAAUGGAGAAUCCUGAUUCCCUGAGGCCCUCUGAGCCUCCCUUGCCAAUGGAAAUAUCUUCCCCUCUUGUAUCUGAGGAGGUUAGUUUUCCUUUGUUUGAAAAUGCGGAGAUAACCUCAUAUGGGGCAGAUGCCUUGAGAUAGCAUGACCAUUAUCCUCAGGAGAUGCCACAAGCACGCUUUGUUACCACUAGAUCCAUAACAAGGGUCAAAUCUCAGCAUGCUCCAAGGGGACAGGUACUCACUGUGAUGCAGAACGAGGCAACACAACAGAAGAAAGGCAAGAUUUUGCUAAUGGCAAGAUUUUACAUAAUUCAGGGAAUAUUUAUGGGAGCUGAUUCUAAGGGUGGAAGGUAAUAAUUCUGAAUUCAUGGAUGUGGAUUUGGUAUUUAAUGUGUUAAGUUGUGCAACUGAAGUUCGCUCUAACAGUUUACUCAGUUGGUUGACUGAAACUUGGACUUGAAGGUGGCUUACAUUUAAUGAAAUUGAAAUGCCAGAGGUUCCAUGGCAUAAUGU